rnacentral:lncRNA from 1 species
AGCAGCGCGAGACCCUCGCCAGGCUCUGAAGACGCGGCCUGGCCCUGGCCGUUCGGCCCUUCGUCUGAGCGCAAAGGCUCCAGCACCUCCGCGGCCGAAGCCGCGGGACUUUUCGUGGAAAAUGGGACCCAGCCCGAUCGCCAGCGGCGCUGCAGCGGACUCUGCGGGAACCUAGCUUCUGCUCCAGGACCUCCAGGGCCACCCCAGCUCGCAGGGCGUUCGCAGCGGCUCAGGGCGAAUCACGCUCAUGGUCCCCGUGCGCAUUUUCAGCCCCAGCCGGUACCUCCUUACUCGCCCUCACGACAUUCAUUCCACCCCCUAAAGGUCCUGCCAACCCCAGGCUCUUCCCGAGCAUUCCCGCCCUUCCUCCCUUUUGAAACCGGAGCAAAUCACGGCCGGGCGGAAGCGGGGGAGCCCGGGUGAGAGUCAGUGACUCAGCUGCGGACUCCAAGUGUCGCCGGAGGCCCUGGGGCGCAGGCCCAGCGGGCUGUCGCACAGCUCGGCUGUCCUGUGCCCCUUCCUGACGAGGCUGGGGAGGAAAGGCGGCCCAGAGAAGGCCGGACCAGCUCUCCCCGUCAGCCCCAGGCUCUCGAAUGACAGCGGAUGCCAGCGACCGGGGAUGGGGUCCCGGAAUUGCUGGGUUAAACAAGCUCCGGAUUCAGGCCUGGGCCUGGGCUGGGGUUCCAGGGUUCUGGACCGCCCUCAAAGAAGGAGCUCCCUGGGGCGGCACCUGGCUCUGCUUGAUAGCCCCAGGGACAGGGAGCUCACUACCUAUCAGGGCAGCUCCCCCAGUGCCGAGACCAGCUCGGUCCUGGAGACCCUAACCCAGCGGUGCUAGAGGAAUUAAAGAUACACACAGAAAUAUAGAGGUGUGGAGUGGGAAAUCAGGCGUCUCACAGCCUUCAGAGCUGAGAGCCUCCAACAGAGAUUUACCCACGUGUUUAUUCACAGCAAGCCAGUGAUAAGCACAGUUUCUACAGAUUAUAGAUUAAAAGUACCCCUUAGGGAAACAAAGGGAUGGGCCAAAAUAAAGGGGUGGGUUUGGCUAGUUAUCUGCAGCAGGGGCAUGUCCUUAAGUCACAGAUGGCUCAUGCUAUUGUUUGUGGUUUAAGAACGCCUUUAAGCGGUUUUCUGCCCUGGGUGGGCCAGGUGUUCCUUGCCCUUAUUCCGGUAAACCCACAACCUCCCAGCGUGGGCAUCAUGGCCAUCAUGAACAUGUUACAGUGCUGCAGAGAUUUUGUUUAUGGCCAGAUUUUGGGGGCCUAUUCCCAACACCCUAGCAUUGCUCACACUUGUCCCUGAAGUGUCACCUUGUCGUAGCUGGGCUCUGAGCCCUCUGCCCCAGGGAGGGGUGGCCUUUUGGGCUGAAGGGACUGAGGACAUAGCCGUUGAGCCUGUUGGCCAUUGCUCAAAGAAUGCAGCCUCCUGGUCACCCAUGUUGUCCCCUUGCCAACAAAAAGAGUGAAACACUGUGCAAUGUUUGAAGAGAUUUAUUCUGAGCCAAAUCUAAGUGACUGUGGCCUGUCACACGGCCUCAGAAGAUCCUGAGAACUUGUACCCAGAGUGGUCAGCCUGCAACUGGGUUUUACAAAUUUUAGGGAGACAUAAGACAUCAAUGAAUACUUGCAGGAUGGACAUUGGUUUGGUCCAGAAAGGUGGGGACAACUGGAAGUGACAGAGGGACUUCUAGGUCAUAGGCAGAUUCAAAGAUUUUCUGAUUGGCAAUUGAUUGAAAGAGUUAAGUUGACCGGGCAUGGUGGGCCAUUUCUAUAAUCCUUGCCAUGGGGAGGCUGAGGACCAUUUGAGCCCAGGAGUUAGAUACCAGCUUGGGCAACAUAGAGAGACCUCACUUCUCCAAAAAAAAAAAAAAAAAAAAAGUUAUUUUUUAAAGACUUAGCAUUAAUAGAAAGGAAUGUCUGGUUAAGAUAAGGGGUCGUGGAGACCAGUGUUUCAUGAUCAGAUGAAGCCUCCAGGUAGCAGGCUUCAGAGAGAAUAGAUUGUAAAUGUUUCUCAUCAGACUUAAAGAGUCUGUUCUCUCAGUCUUUAAGGGGUGUGUUGAUGUUACUGCUGGUCAGCUGGGCCUGAAAUCCAAAGGGAGGAGGGUACAGUGAGGCAUAUCCAACACCCAUUUCCUGUCGUGGUCUGAACUAGUGUUUCAGGUUAACCCUGGACUGCCCUUGGUCAAGAGCAGGGGUGCAUUCAGAUGGUGGGGGUGCUUAGAAUUUCAUUUUUGGUUUACACCACUGUGUCCUCUCCUGCCAGGGGAGGGACCCAGAGCUGGAGGCUUAGCCCUGGAGAUACCGGUGAAGAUGGAUGAAUGAGAAACCAGUUGGAGCUUCCAAGCAGGCCUGUCGUCCAUCAGGAGAAGCAAAAGGUUUUAUUCUAGAGACAAGUCCUUCCAACUGUACAGCUGAUGGAGUAGCCAAGGAAACCUGGUAUGGACCCUUUCAUUUCUCAGUGAACUAAGCCUCUGGGCUUCCUUUUCGCCAUGUCUUGAGUAGGACCUGUGCACCUGGGCUAGCAGGGAAAUGAUCUGAAACUCCAUGACCCGGCUGAGGUCACAUCUUAUUAUCAUAUUGCAAGAUGGCCUGCUGAACUUGUCCCAAGUUAAUGAUGUAUUUUACCACCUGAUUUAAAUCUUCGUCUAGAAGAAAGUGGCUAGGAAGCGGCUAGCAACAGGAGGAGUGGGUUGGGCAGAUUCAUUCUGUCCCAGCUUCCUAGGAUGGAAUGAGCAGUCCCUUUCCCAGUGCCCCUCCUUCCUAUGGUAGGAACAUGGGUUACAGGAGCCAAGGGGCCAAGCCGCUCUGUCUGGGCCACCUGUUUGGCAGCUUCACCAGCUCAGCUGUCUCCUCGGCUGGUUAAAGAACUGCCUGCUGGGGCCCUUCAUGGUGCAUGACAGCUAUCUGGGCAGGGAGCUGAACUGCCUCAAGAAGGGACAGAAUCACUUUUUUAUGUUUUAUGGGGGAGCUCCUAGGAGUCCACAAUCUCCUCUCUUUCCAGACAGCUGCAUGAACAUGGAGCACUAGGAAUCCAUACUUAGAGGCAGGAUAUACAUUAAGUAUUUUCCUUCCCUUAGUUAAAGAGCCAUGACUAGGGCUUUGAGCUCUGCUUCAUGAGUGGAAGUGCUUGGGGCAAGGGCUUUUGCUUCUACAAUGUGGUUCAAGCCAACAGCAGCAUAGCUUGUCUUUUGGAUGCCAUUUUCUACAAAGCUGUUCCCAGAUGUAAAUAAUUCUUUAUCUGUAUUUUCUAAGGGGGAGUCCUGCAGGUCCAUUUGUCUAGAAUAGGUCUGCUCUAAAGUCUCCACACAAGUGUGUUUGUGUCUCUGAAGUGGGCGAGGGAACCAGGGCAGCAGGAUUCAAGGUCUAACACACCUUUAAGGUUCAGUCGAGGGUGUCUAGCAGCAGGGCCUGCUAUAAAGUUAGGCUUCCCCAGCCAGUGGUGCUCUUUUAUUUCUAACACAUUCCAGACCUGGUGAGGAGUGUCAACCUGAAGGGGUUGGCCUCAUGUGAGUUGGGAGGCCUCUCUGACCAGGAGGCUGGUGGCCACCACUGCCCUAAGUCAGCUUGGCCUUCCCUGGGCUACUGGGUCUCAUUGCUUUGAAAGUAACCACUGGCCAUUGGAUGGACUCCAGAUUCUGAAUUAGGACAUCCAGGGCUGGCCUGAACCUCUCCUAUACAUAUAGGAAGAAAGGCUUCUACAAUUGUGGGAGUCCUAGGUCAGGGGCCUUCCUAACUCAGAUUUUAGGGUUUCAUAUGCUUGCUGACAGGCUUCUACCCAGUGGGAUAAUUGGUUUUCUCCACUCUUGAGUGGGUUUAAGUAUGAGGCCAAAGUUUAGGAUCUAAACCCAGCAGAAGCCAGCCAUCUGCAGAAAUCCGUGCAGCUCUCUUCUACUACCAGGGACUAGUAGUGAAGCAAUGGCCCGCUUUCAGUCUGGGGCAAGCAUCCUGGCUUCUGGGGUAAGUAUGAACCCUAGUCAUCGAACCUGUGUCUGGGAGAUCUGGGCCUUUAAGGGGAAGACCUUAUAUUCCCAUUCAGCCAAGAAAUUUAAGGUUUUAAUAGUAUGUUCUUGAAAACUAUGGAAGCCCUCACUAGCAAUAAGCAAAUCAUCCACAUAUUGCAAUAAGAUUCCACUUGUAAGUUUAAGAUCUCUGAGGUCUUUUGCCAGGGCCUUCCCAGAGAGGUAGGAGCUAUCCUGAAACCCCUGGGGUAGCACUGUCCAGGUAUAUUGGGAAGUUUCCUGGGUCUCUGGAUACUUCCAUUCAAAGGCAAAAAUGUAGGAGAAUUUGGGAUGCAAUGGGAUACAAAAGUAAGUGUCCUCUAGAUCCAGCACCAUGUAGAACUGAGUGCGCCUAGGGAUCUGAGAGAGGAGUGUGGAUAGAUUGGGAACUAUAGGAUGACUGGGAACAACUGAGUCAUUCACUGCCCUAAGCCAUUCACUCCUAAAAGGAGUACCCUAAACCAGUACUCCCCUUUUGGUUUCUCCACAGGCAAGAUUGGGGUAUUACAAGGUGACUGGCAGGGCUGAAUAGGCCUGUGCUGUAGGAAUUUUUCCAGGAGGAGCUGUAUUCCCUGUAGGUCUUCUGUCCUCAAAGGGUAUUGGGGCUUGCAUGGGUAGGGUACACUUGGCUUAAGUUUUAUCUUAAUAGGCUCUGCAAUGAUGGCUUGUCUUAGAGUACUGGCAUCCCAUAUAAACUUUGCCACUUGACAUACUAUCUCUUCCAGGACAGGAGGUAGCUUCUGACCUUUGGGAGCCAGAAGGGCCAGUAAAUGGAUUCUCUUCUCGGAGGUACUGAGACUUAUAUUGCAUCCCCUGGAGGGAAACUGAGGCUCCCAGGUUGGAUAAUAAAUCAUAACCUAUUAAAGGAAGGGGACACUCAGGGAUAUAUAGGAAAGAAUGAGUAAUACCCUUAAAUCCAAUUUCACAAGUCAAAGGAAAGGCAAAUCAUUUUACCUUCUCCUGGCCAUCUAUUCCCAUCACCAUACAGUUGGCAUUGCAGAGGUCCCACAGGUUGGGUCAGGACAGAGUAGGUGGUCCCAGUAUCCAAUAGUUAUUCAGGUUUCCUGCCUGCUACAUUGAGAGUGACCUGAGGCUUUGCGGUGGUGAUGCCAACAGAACGCUUCAAGACUGCAGCUGGGAGAGCACUUGGGCUACAUCCAGCAGAGAGGGUGGCCUUUUCAUACAAGAGACUAGCAUCAAGAGGAGUGGGUUGGGGAGAUUCAUGCUGUCAUGACUUCACAGGAUGGAAUGAACAGUCCCUUUUCCAGUGCCCCUCUUUCUUAUAAUAAGAACAUUGGUUGUCCCUCAGUCCUAUUGCUGCUGGUUGAGGUCUGGUCACCCCUUGUCUGGAGUGUUUCUCCUGCCUAGGGUCACCUUGAGGCAGACCUGUAAUUAUGGCAGCCAAAAUUUUUGCCCGAUUUUUCAUUCUCUCAUCCUUUUUUUCCUCCCCUGCCUGGUCCUUAUUGUUAAAAACCUUAAAGGCCUCCGCUAUCCACGUCACCUGAGGUGUCUUGGGGUAAGCUUCCAGUUUCUGAACCUUUCUCCAAAUGUCGGGUGGAACUUGAGUUAUGAAAUGCAUGGUAGUUGUAUGUUCAUUUUUAUAAGAAACUGUCAAACUGUUUUCCAUAGUGGCUGUACCAUUUUAAAUUUUCACCAGCUGUGUAUGAGUGAUCCAGUUACUCUGCAUCCUUUUCAGGAUUUGGUGUUGUCACUAUUUUUUAUUCUAGCCAUUCUCAUAGGUAUGUGGUGAUAUCUCAUUGUGGCUUAAAUUUGCAUUUUAUAAAGGAUAAGGAUGGCCUGGGCGCAGUGGCUCACGUCUGUAAUCCCAGCACUUUGGGAGGCUGAGGCGGGUGGAUCACGAGGUCAGGAGAUUGAUACCAUGGUGAAACCCCAUCUCUACUAAAAAUACAAAAAAAAUUAGCCAGGCGCAGUGGCGGGCGCCUGUAGUCCCAGCUACACAGGAGGCUGAGGCAGGAGAAUGGCGUGAACCCAGGAGGCGGAGCUUGUAGUGAGCUGAGAUCGCGCCACUGCACUCCAGCCUGGGCGACAGAGUGAGACUCUGUCUCAAAAAAAAAAAAAAAAGGAUAAGGAUGUUGAUUAUUUUUUAAUGUGCUUAUUUGCCACUCACAUCUGCUUGCUGACAAAAUGUCUGUUUAUAUGCCUUGUCCAUGUUCUCAUUGAUUUUUUUUUUUUACUGUUGAGUUUUAAGAGUUCUUUGUAUAUUUUAGAUAAAACUCUUUGUCAGAUUGUGGCUUGUAAAUAUUUUCUCUUAGUCUGUAGCUUGUCUUUUCAUCCUAAUAACAGAGUCAAUAGCAAAGCAAAAGUCUUAAUGUUGGUGAGGUCCAGUUUAUCAAUUGUUCCUUCUAUGGAUUCAGCUUUUGGUGUCAAUUUUAAGAACUUUUUACCUAGCCCUAGAUGGUAUCUUUUUAUGUUUUUUAGUCUAGAGAUGUCAUCUUUUUAUUCCUGAUAUUGAUAAUUUGUGCCUUCUUACUCAUGAUCAAUCUUUCUAAGGAUUUAUAAGUUUUAUUAGUUUUUUCAAAUAAGCAACCUUUUAUUUUUAUUUUUUGAUGAAUUUUCUAUUAGUUUGAAUUUCUUCUUUCUGUGGAUAUAUUUGCUAUUCUUUUUCUAAUUUCUUGAAGUAGAUACUCAGUUCUCUGUCUUUAAGAAUUUUUCCCAUGAAUGGAUUAUUUUAGACCACAAGUUUCUCUUAAGCAUAUCUUUGUCACUAUACCGCAAGUAAUAAUAGGUCAUGUAAACAGUAUAAUUCUUUUUUGGAGAAACAGUGUAAUUAUUUUUGGACACUAUGUCAUGCAGGUUGGAGUGCAGUGGCAUGACCAUGGCUCACUGCAGCCUUAACCUUCUGGGCUCAGGUGAUCCUCCCACCUCCACCUCCAUAGCAGCUGGGACUACAGGUGGGCACUACCACACCUUGCCAGUUGUUAAAAUUUUCUGUAGAGACGGGUUCUCACUAUGUUGCCCAGGCUGCUAACUCAUGGGCUCAAGCAACCUUCCCACCUCACCCUCCCAAAGUGCUGGAAUUACUGGCAUGAGUCACUGUACCUUGCCUCAGUAUAAUUUAAUACAAAUAUUUUCCAACUUCCUUUGUGACUGUCUUCUGAGACUUAGAAUAUGCAUAAAUUUAUUUCUUAUCUUCCAAACCUUUGGGGAUAUUUUAUUUUUUGAUAUCGGUGUUUUAUUUAAUUGCAUUAUGGUCAAAAACUUGCCACACGAUUUCAAGUCAUUGACAUUGUGGAGAUUUGCUUUAUCCCCAGCAUAUGGACAAAAAUUUGAUGAACAUUCCAUGUACACUUGAAAAAAUUGUGACUUUUUAGUUGUUCGGUGCAGUGCCCUGUAUAUGUUAGUGGGCCAAGGUUGUUAAUGAUGUUCAAAUAUUGCAUAUUUUUAUUAAUUUGCUGGAUUGUUCUGUCACACACUGAAAGAAGUAUGUUGAAAUUUACCAUUUCAUCUUUUAUUUCUGUUAAUGUUUGCUUUAUAUAUUUUGAGGUUAUGUUAACAGAUGCAUACACAUUUAGAAUUAUUGUAUCCACCUGUUGGAUUUACCCUUUUGCAAUUAUGAAAAGCCCUCCAUUAUAGUAAUGUUUCCUGUAUCAACAUCACUUUUGUCUGACAGUAGAAACUCUGCCAGAUUCUUUCACUUAGUGUUUGCCUGGUGUUGACUCAGCUCCACACCAACCAUCCCCACUCCACCUCUGUGGCUGGCCCUAGCUCCGCAAACUCAUUUCUGCUGGGCCAGCUGGUGCUGUGCUAAAUUCUCCCACUAGGGGCACCAGAGAAAGCACGCAAGGCUGGGGAAGAUGGGGAAUGUGCUCCUUUCAGUUUGCUUCCGGUUUCUUUCCCAGGCUUCCGGUCUACCUGCCACUGGGGCCACGUGUCCUCUGGAUGCUGCUGGUUCACCUGGCAGUGGCACUUCCCCACCUAGCUGCUAAAACUGGGUUGCUGGUUCCCGACUCUGCAGAAUCAGCUUGAUCUCCCCGCUAGAGACCUCAAACCACUGCUAGGGACACCUCAUCUCGGGGGUCUGGGUUUCAGGCCGUAGGCCCUUCCAGCUCAGACCCUGGCAGCAGCUGCCAUCCCUCUUCAGAGGCCAGAUCCCAGUGUGGCAGCCGCCCUGGGGCACCUGGGGAGUGACUCAUUUUCAUGAAUUCCAGCUUAUUAGUUUUAUUAAUUCUCCCCUUUGUACCCCAGACUGAGUGGUGGUGGCUGCCUUGUGUGGUUGCUAUUUUCCUGAUACGUGGGCUGGCAAACCAAAACCUGAGACCACAGCCAGCUGCAGUCCUGUGUUCCUACAACCUGUGAGCUAAGAAUGUUAUUUAUUAAGUAGAAUAUUAAUAAAUAAAUAAUAAACUAUACUAUAGUAUCUAAAUGUGAAUUUUUUUUUUUUUACUUAAAGCAUCUUCCAUAGAUAUAUAUGAAAUUCAAAUACAUUUUAUUGGGACACACUGUUUUAAUUCAUUUUCAUAUUUAUUGCCUCUUAGCACAAUGCUUGAGCCUUGGAAUACUUUUAACUCCUUUCAUUCCUCUGUCACCUUCUGUGUUACUGUGGUCACAUACAAUUAUUCACACUACUUAUAUUCAUUAUAUUAAAUCUGCUGUAUGAUUUUUUACUUCUAUAUAUUAUAUCCCUAAAGUCCUUGUUAUUAUUGUCUUAUACAAUAGAUUUUUAUUUAUAUUAACUAAUAUUCUUUCCAUUGCUUAUGUUUGAUAUAACUUUUCAUCCACCUUUAGGAUUUCCUUUAGUGUGGUCUGAUGGUGAUACAUUCUAUGAGAGUGUGUUUCUUUCACUUUGUCUUUACUUUUGCAUUUUGAAGGGUAUUUUGUUUUGUAGAACGCUCUAGAAUUAGCAGUGAUUUUCUUCCAGCAGUUUCACAAUGUUCUUCCAUUGUCUUUUCUCAUUGCUUACUUUCUCUUUUUGGAACCCGGGUAUUAUUCUUAUUGUUGCUCCUUUAAGUAUUGUGGCUGUUUGCUCUGACUGCUUUUAAGACUUUCUCUUUAUUCUUGGGUUUCAGAAGUUUUGCAAUGAUGUAUCCAGGUAUGAUUUUUCCUUGUAUCAAUUCUGCUUCAGUUUCUCAGAGUUUCUCAAAUCUGUGGUUAUUUUCUAUCAGUUUUCAAAAAUGAUCUCCUGUAUCUUCAAAUAUUGUGUCUGUCCCUUUCUCUUAGUGGAUCCAUGGUCUAUCAGUUAGCUACUGCUGCAUAAUUAGCCGCCCCAAAGCCCACUGAUGUGAAACAUCCAUUUUUGUAUUAUCACUCAUGGAUCUGUGGGUAGGCCCAGCUCAGCUGGGUAGCUCCGCUUCUCACUACAGAUCUUGAGUCUACUGGGAUGGUUCUACAACCCACGUCUCUCUUCCUCCUGGUACAAGUGGUCUAGCUGAAGCAUUUUCUUCUCAGGAUGAUGGUGGGGGCACGAGAGAAAUCCCAAUCACACAAGCUCAUCUCAUGUCUUUGCUUGUGUCACUUCUGCUAAUGUCAUUGCCUGAAGCAAGUCAUGUGACAGUAUCCAACGUGAAUAUCAGGGAACUAAACCAAGUCUUUGGCUGGAGGAACUGCAAAGUUACAUGGCAGAGGGUAUUGUAUAGCAGGGGUCCCCAACUCCACAGUCCAUGGCCUAUGAGGAGCCAGGCCACAUAGCAGGAAGUGAGUGGCAGGCGAGCAAGGAUUCCAGCCUGAGGUCUGCCUCCUGUCAGAUGAGCAGUGGCAUCAGAUUCUUGUAGGAGCACAAACCGUAUUGUAAACUGUGCAUGUGAGGGAUUUGGGUUGCAUGCUCCUUAUGAGAAUCUGAUGAUCUGAGGUGGAACAGUUUCAUCCCGAAACCAUCCUUCUGCCUCAUCCAUGGAAAAAUUGUCUUCCAUGAAACUGGCCCCUGGUACCAAAAAGGUUGGGGACUGCUGAUGUAUAGCAAAGGCUGAAGAAACAGAGUCAAUAAUUACAUCGACUUAUAUACAACUAUGCCAGACCUUGUCUCCAUGUCCCAGGUACCAAGGCUUUUUCUGUAUUUUCCAUUCUCUUUUUAAAUUUUGUGAUCUUCAGUCUGAUGGUUCCUACCUACCAUUCUUCUUGUUUACUCUUCCUUUCUCUGAUUGUCUAAUAUGCCAUUAAAUUCACCUCUUGGGCCUUUCUGUCAUACCCUUGAUUUCUAUUUCAUUAACUUCUACCACUUUGUUAUUUUCUUCAUACCUACUUUCUGACUUUUAAAGCGGAAUUUUGUUGUUGUUUGCUUUUGAAGUAGGGUCUCGCUUUGUCGCCCGGCUGGAGUGCAGUGGUACGAUCACGGCUUGCUGCAGCCUUGACCUCCUGGGCUCACGGCAUCCUCCCAUUUCAGCCUCCUGAAUAGCUGGGACUACAGGUGUGCGCCAUCAUGCCCAUCUACGUUUUGCAUUUUUUGUAGAGAUGGGGUCUCAUUUCGUUGCCCAGACUGGUCUCAAACUCCUGGGCUCAAGCGAUUCGCCAGACUUGGCCUCCCAAAGUGCUAGGAUUACAGGCGUGAGCUCACACGCUUGGCAAAAUCGAAUGUUUAAUGUAUUAAUUUUCCAAUUUUCUUCUCUCCUAUUAUAAACAUUUAAAUUUCUAACUGCUUAUAAAUUUCUCCUUGAGUACUGCUUUAGCUUUACCCUGAAGGUUUUUUUUUUUUUCAUUUUGGUAUAGAUUUUUAACUGUUCAAUUUAAAGUAUUUUAAAAUUUUCAGUUUGGUUCCCUCCUCCAAUUGUUUUAGAGACAGGGUUUUGCUCUGUCACCCAGGCUGGAGUGCAGUGGCCCAAUCAUACCUCACUGUAACUCGAACUCCUGGGCUCAAUCAACCCUCCUGCCUCAGCCUCCCAAAUAGCUAGUACCAUAGGCAUGCAACACCACACUCAGGUAUCUUAAAAUUUUUUGUAGGGAUGGGGUAUUGUCAUCUUGCCCUUGCUGGUCUCAAACUCCUUGGCUCAAGCAAUACUCCUACCUCAGCCCCUCAAAGCUCUGGGUAGUUUUCCAUCUUUGAGAAGAAGGCCUGAUCUGUAAUUGUUGGGUGCAAGGUCCCACAUAUGUAUAUUCAGUCAGUCUUGUCAGUUAUCUUGUUCAGUGUUUUCACUAUACUUUGCAUUCUAGAUCUAUCAAUUAUUGAGCAAUGUGUGUUAAAAUAUUUCAUUACAUUGUCAGUUUUGUCAAUUUUUCCCCGUAUUUACAACAUCUUUUACUUCCUUAUAUUGAAACACCUCU